CCUACGGGUGGCAGCAGUGAGGAAUAUUGGUCAAUGGGCGUAAGCCUGAACCAGCCAAGUCGCGUGAGGGAUGACGGUCCUAUGGAUCGUAAACCUCUUUUAUAAGGGAAUAAAGUGAGGCACGUGUCCUUUUUUGUAUGUACUUUAUGAAUAAGGAUCGGCUAACUCCGUGCCAGCAGCCGCGGUAAUACGGAGGAUCCGAGCGUUAUCCGGAUUUAUUGGGUUUAAAGGGUGCGUAGGUGGGUUGUUAAGUCAGUGGUGAAAGUCUGUGGCUCAACCGUAAAAUUGCAGUUGAUACUGGGAGGCUUGAGUAUGUUUGAGGCAGGCGGAAUGCGUGGUGUAGCGGUGAAAUGCUUAGAUAUCACGCAGAACCCCGAUUGCGAAGGCAGCCUACUAAGCCAUGACUGACGCUGAUGCACGAAAGUGUGGGUAUCAAACAGGAUUAGAUACCCCAGUAGUC
rnacentral:rRNA from 1 species